rnacentral:rRNA from 1 species
AUUGAACGCUGGCGGCAGGCCUAACACAUGCAAGUCGAGCGAGCGGCGGACGGGUGAGUAAAGUCUGGGAAACUGCGUGCGAGAGGGGGGUAACAACAGGAGAAGGUAGCGAAUACCGCAUACACUCAGAUGUGACCAAAGUGGAUUAGCUAGUAGGUGGGGUAACGGCGCACCUAGGCGACGAUCCCUAGCUGGUCUGAGAGGAUGACCAGCCACACUGGAACUGAGACACGGCCCAGACUCCUACGGGAGGCAGCAGUGGGGAAUAUUGCACAAUGGGCGCAAGCCUGAUGCAGCCAUGCCGCGUGUGUGAAGAAGGCCUUCGGGUUGUAAAGCACUUUCAGCGGGGAGGCGUUACCCGCAGAAGAAGCACCGGCUAACUCCGUGCCAGCAGCCGCGGUAAUAC